UGCCUGUGGGUCAAGAUGUGAGAACUCUCAGCUGUUUGUCCAGCACCGUGUCUACCUACUUGUCACCAUGCUUCCCACCGUGAUGAUAAUGGGCUAAACCUCUGAACUAUGACUGUGGUGGGGUGGCUCAGCCAACUAUGAGUGCUGCUCCCCCCAGGCAGUGGUCCUGGGUUGUAUAAGAAAGCAAGCUGAGCAAGCCAAGGAGAAGAGCCAGUGAGCAGCGUCCUCCACGAUUCCUGCCUCAGCUUCUGCUUGAGUUUCUGCCCUGAUGGAGUGUGAUGGAGAUGGCAUCAGGAAAGAAGCCAAGGUGUCACAUCCUAGAGGGGCCCAGAGCCUGGGUUAGACUCUCUCCUAACUCCUUUGCUUAAAGUAGAGACUGAGACUUGAGUCUACAGUGAGAGUAAGUUGUAGGAGCCCUCCAGAAUUUGUUGUCCUCUGGUUCCUCUCCUCCAGUGAGAAAAGCCAUGCUGCAACCAUCCAGAGAAGCCUCGGCAGCUUGGGGAGGUUGCUGUAACAACUUUUGCUGGAAAAAAAAAAAAGCCAUGGAAAUCCUGGGCCUGGUUUCCCUUUGGAUUAAAAUAAAUGUUAAGUGCAAAGCCAAGGACCUGCUAUUGAUGAAAUACCUUGAAUUCCCCUUUCACAAGCAGCCACUGGGGGCGCUACUGAACAAAUCCCACUGACUUCCACUGGUUCCGAGAGGAACACCAGGAACCACACUGGAAAAAGCAAAUUACAGACAAAUGAUGAAAUCGCCACCUUGCCAAAGAUGAUAAAUAGCUUUGUUCUGACCUGGGGAGGUCACCUUUCUGGAGAUGAAGGAUGGAUACUGUCUUGUCAGUAGAGAUGAGUUCUGGAUGCAUAAGACUGCACAACACCAUCUUACACCUUAUUCUUGUGUUUGUGGGUGGGGCUCAAGUGUCUGCCACUUGUGUUCAGGUUCCUGACAAGCAGAGGGCAUCAGAUCUCCUAGAGCUGUUGUCACAGGCACUUGUGAGCUACCCGCUAUGGUGUCGGGAACCACACUUGGUCCUCUGAAGAGCAUCAAGAACAAUUAGCCCCUGAGCCAUCUCCCCAACCCCUCUUCUUUUUAACUGGUGUACAGUGUCCCCACAAUCCUGCUGUCCAGUACUGUUCUUUGCAAGAAACAAAAGGUCCCCAUUCCAACUUGUGGAAGAUGGACAGUGGAGGCUGUCUGAAGUGAUCAGAGCAGCUUCCUCUCCUUAUUUGAAUGGAUGACAUUGCCAUGUAAAUUUAAUAUGUACAAAAUUCCCUAAAGGAAGCAUCUAGAAGUUGCAAGAGGGAAUCGGUGACUCCUGGAGGAAAUGAAAUCUGCAAAUGAAACAGAGAACAAACAAAAAAGAAUGUGUCAGCAAGGACGGGCUGUGGGCAGCUUCUACCUCUAUUUACUGUUUUUGAAAUUGUGGAAAGGAUUUGGGAAAUAAGCUGGGCAUAGUGGUGCACUCCUUUAACCCCAGCACUUAGGAAAGCAAAGGAGGGUGGAUCUCUAUGAGUUUGAGGCCAGCAUGGUCUACUAUAUAACCAGUUCCUUGUUAGCCAGUUACAUAAAGAGACCCUAUCUCAAAAAAAUGGGUAAUGUUAGUUGUAUAAAAUUACAGAGGUACAUACUGUGAUAAAGUUGAAAAUGAGUUUGGGUCUAGGGAGAUGGCUCAGUGAAGUGAAUGUCUGCUGUGCACGCUGGGAGACCUGAGUUUGGACCCUGAGAACCUACAUGGAAAGCCAGCCAUGCUGGUGCUAUAACCCCAGAAGUAGAGAGACGUGGAUCCCCGAAGCUCAUUGGCUG
ensembl:lncRNA